rnacentral:tRNA from 1 species
GCCGACAUGGUGGAAUUGGCAGACACGCUAUCCUCAGAAGAUAGUGCCUCCGGGCGGUCCAGGUUCGAGCCCUGGUGUCGGCACCA